UAUAACGGAGUCAUUCAAAAUAUAAAAUUCUAUGACUUUUACUAUAUCCAUACAGUUACAUAACCAUCAGAUUUUUAUUAUUUUAGAAUCCUUUUACUACCCUAUAGCCUUUAGUGAUCAUCCUAGGUCCCUCAAUUCUGCACCCCUACACCCAAUUCCAGGCAACUUUCUGUCCCUGUGGAUUUGUCUACUAUGAACAUCUCACACAAAUGAAGCAAAUAAAGUAUGGUCUUUCCUUCUCGGUCUGGCAGAAUGCCUUGUUGUUUGGUUGCUUUUGUUUUGUUUUUGAGAUGGUCUCACGCAAGCCAAGAUGGCCUUGAAGUUACUAUACAGCCGAGGAUGACCUUGAAGUUCAUCUUUUUGCUGAGAUAGCAGAGGUCCUGUAGGAGGUGGGGAACGACGGAGAGGCAUUAACCAGGCUCACACAGCUGUCGCACAAGGGACUGGAGAAUAACCAACUACGUCAAACGCUGCUUUUAAGGAAAAUAAGAUGAGAUCCAAGAAUUGACCAAUCAGGAAGAUGUGAGCUCCUUUGUGCUGCUGUUGCUGUUUGCGGGGAGCAGAGGUAAUACACUAUAUUAUCUAAAAGAUUGCACC